CCAAAAUAUGAUGAUCGACAAAUACAAAGAGUCAAGCACUGAAACGCGAUAGCGUCUUGUUGAGUUAUUUGGUCUGAUUUUGG